GACGAACGCUGGCGGCAUGCUUAACACAUGCAAGUCGAACGGAAAGGCCCUGCUUUUGUGGGGUGCUCGAGUGGCGAACGGGUGAGUAACACGUGAGUAACCUGCCCUUGACUUUGGGAUAACUUCAGGAAACUGGGGCUAAUACCGGAUGGGAGCUCCUGCUGCAUGGUGGGGGUUGGAAAGUUUAGGCGGGUGGGGAUGGGCUCGCGGCGUAUCAGCUUGUUGGGGGGGUAGUGGCUUACCAAGGCUUUGCGGGGUAGCCGGGCUGAGAGGGUGACCGGCCACACUGGGCUUGGAAUAAGGCCCAGACCAGUACGGGAGGCAGGAGUGGAGUAGAGUGUCCAAUGGGAGGAAGCCUGAUGCAGCAUCGCCGCGUGCGGGAUGACGUCAUUGGGGUUGUAUUCUGCUUCCGCCUGUGCCGAAGAGUGAGUGACGGUAACGGGUAAAGAAGCACCGGCUAACUACGUG
rnacentral:rRNA from 1 species